CACUAAUUAGAGCGUAGACAAGAACAGAAUGCAUUAUAAAACAUGUAUUAUGUGCAACUGGUAUAGCAGGAUACAUCUCUUGCUUUGUUAUGCUUAUAAUGUAUGCAGGUCAAACAUGCUUUAAGAAAGGACAGUAAUAAGGCCAUUGGAAGUGAAUUGGGCUAUUAAAGCAAAAUUAAAAGAUAAGAAAUUAGAUGACUAUGAAACAUGAGGUUAGUGAGUUAGGACAUGUCUGCUUCAAUCAGGGAUGAAUCAGAUCUGCAGCAAUAUGUUUGAUGGUACAGUUUAUGCAGCCAGGUAUAGAAACAUAGAAACAUAGAAUGUGUGGCAGAUAAGAACCAUUCGGCCCAUCUAGUCUGCCCAAUUUUCUAAAUACUUUCAUUAGUCCCUAGCCUUAUCUUAUAGUUAGGAUAGCCUUAUGCCACUUCAGCUGGAAGGCUAUUCCAUGCAUCCACUACCCUCUCAGUAAAGUAAUACUUCCUGAUAUUAUUUUUAAACCUUUGUCCCUCUAAUUUAAGACUAUGUCCUCUUGUUGUGGUAGUUUUUCUUCUUUUAAAUAUA